UCACAGAAUUUUGAGACCCAUUAAAAU
rnacentral:piRNA from 1 species